rnacentral:rRNA from 1 species
UACGUAGGUGGCAAGCGUUGUCCGGAUUUACUGGGCGUAAAGAGCGCGCAGGCGGUCGUUCAAGUCGCGUGUGAAAGCCCCCGGCUCAACUGGGGAGGGUCACGCGAUACUGAUCGACUCGAAGGCAGGAGAGGGUAGUGGAAUUCCCGGUGUAGUGGUGAAAUGCGUAGAUAUCAAGAGGAACACCUGAGGUGAAGACGGGUUGCUGGGCUGACACUGACGCUGAGGCGCGAAAGCUAGGGUAGCAAACGGG